GAUGAAACAUAUAACAUGCUUGGUUCUAUGCAUGGACCUACUUCCAAGCUUUGGCGUAAUUCUUAUGAACCAAUCACUUACCGCCGACAAACUGGUUAUUGGAUGCUAUUCAACAUCUGCAUUAACCCUUUCAAUGACGAGUUUUAAGCAAAACACAACUAGUGAAAUAGCAAAGUGUGAACGGUACCUUAAAAAGUGUUUUUUGAGUGAGUACGUCUCCAAUCAAACAUUUUAAAUUACCCACUUUGGUUACGGCGCUCUUCUUACCGUGAACAAUCUGAACAUCGAUCUAUGUGGAAUAUACAUGUGCUGUGAAUCGUUUACACCGACCAACUGUGGAAGCACGAUUGUGCGCUUACCGGAUAGUGCCACUACAGUCAUCGUCCCAAACAGUUCUAAACACAAUUUGAAUAACGAUACAAACCCCAAUGGGUGGUCAAACGAUGCGCACGGGAAUCUUAACUCAACAGGAUUAAUUAUCGCAGUGUCUUGUACAGCGGUGGUUGCGGUCGUUUCCCCCAUACUGACGUUGUGUGCAGUAAUUAGAAUGAGGCUAUACUAUCGCA